ncrna:unclassified sequences pemK RNA
ACAAUGAUACUCCUGUUCAGUCACAGGUCGAGCGUGAUAAGACCGUCGCAACCAAUGAGGGCAGCCGGUAGAGAACCUACCGGGGGUGAGAUUCCCGUGG